CAUCUCAGCCUUCCUCAGCCCCCACCGCCUUCAGCAGGACCCACUUCAUAUUUGGAGACGCCGUCUGCUCCCGAGCUAGGCGUGAGGGCCAGGGACAGCCUCUCGCUGUGCGGGGCUCUGGCCCUGGUGGGGUUGAGAUUUCACCCUUUACCCAGGUCCCGUCGUCCUGCCUCCGACUUCCUCAUGGACGGGGCAUCCCCCCAGCUCCCCCUCUUCCACGAAAAGGGGCUUUAGGGGGGACCUGCUCCGGCUUCCUCUCCACUCCCUGUGGCAGCAAACCUCUGGGCAAAGCAGAGGUGACAGAUCCAUCACACAGGGCACAAGAUGGAGCAGUCUUUGAAGGAAACUUUCCACAGCCCCUGUGCUAGUAGAAGAGGUUAACAACAUUUGUUGGAGGUCUGCCCUCAUCUCUCUGACUCUGGAUCGCUUUGGGAUACUGCUUUGUGGAUACUCAACAGUUUGGCUUUCUGGAUGCUGCAGCACAAAACAAAGAAAAAUGAAGAAGCAGGCGCUGGGUGCCCGGGUGGCCCAGGUGGUCAAGUGUCCAACUGGGUUUCAGUGCCGGUUGUGAUCUCAGGAUCUCGAGAUCAAGCUCCGCGAGUUGGGCUCCACACUCAGUAUGGAGUCUCUCCUCCUCUCCCCGCUGCU